GAUGAACGCUAGCUACAGGCUUAACACAUGCAAGUCGAGGGGCAGCAUGAACAAAGCUUGCUUUGUUUGAUGGCGACCGGCGCACGGGUGCGUAACACGUAUCCAAUCUGCCCGCGGCUCGGGUAUAGCCCAUCGAAAGAUGGAUUAAUACCCGAUGGUGUGGUUUCUCCGCAUGGGGUUUCCACUAAAGGUUUUCCGGCCGCGGAUGAGGAUGCGUAUGAUUAGGUAGUAGGCGGGGUAACGGCCCACCUAGCCUUCGAUCAUUAGGGGUUCUGAGAGGAAGGUCCCCCACACUGGAACUGAGACACGGUCCAGACUCCUACGGGAGGCAGCAGUGAGGAAUAUUGGUCAAUGGGGCGAGGAGCCUGAACCAGCCAAGUAGCGUGAAGGAAGACUGCCCUAUGGGUUGUAAACUUCUUUGUUCGGGAAUAAAGUGCAGUACGCGUACUGUUUUGUAUGUACCGUUCGAAUAAGCAUCGGCUAAUUCCGGUG
rnacentral:rRNA from 1 species